CAAAAUUUGCACAAGAACGGCGGUGAUGAGUUGCUAGUGUGGCGAGGGGACUCAAAGACUAAACAUGUGUAUUUUGAUGACAUCAUACACCUCAUCAAGGAAGAAUCAAUAACCAACAACGUGAUAGAUGCUUAUGGUGAAAUUCUACUUGAACUACAAGGGCUAGUCAACCCAAGUUUGGAAGAUUCAUCAUUCAUCUUUACAAGCACAUGUUUGAAAAUCAUUGAACAGUACCCCCCCCCACAAGAGGAAUAAA